CGCGCUGUCCAUGGAAGCUAAAUUGAUGAAUCUAUAUGUUUUAGUUUCCAUUUCCUAAACAUAACUAAGAAGCUUAUCCAGGGAAAUCAUUUUAGCUUUUUGCUGCUCCUUAUGUGCUUUAGAUUCAGCAAGACAAUUCAAACUUUGCAAGUUUUGGAAGACUAAUACCUAACUUUUUGGUAACUCGAAUGAAACAUGCACAUACAGAUCACCCUGAUUACACGAUUAAUGGAGAGGAGGUACAUGGGGUGGGGUCCUAGAACAUACUGUAAUGUAUCAGGAGAUGGCGGCGAGCUAGGUACUGGAGCGGCGGGGACUAAAGCUCUAGCGGCAUGAAGAUGUUUACUUGGUGCAAUGAAUCAUGGCGACUGGCCAACUUUUCUCUAAAACUACCCAAGCAUUAUUCUACAAUUACAAGCAACUUCCCAUCCAACAGAUGCUUGAUUUAGACUUCCUUUGUGGGAGAGAAACACCUCCUGUGCUUGAAUAACAAUCCUGGUUCUUAUGAUUUUUAGAAACUUUUCUUUGGACAAGUGAAAUUGCUAUUCCAGUUCAUCCCACUAUUAAAGUUGUCUAUAGUGCACACCCAACAGCUGAUGUAUUUAUCAACUUUGCAUCCUUCCGAAGUGUUGCUAUGUCUUCAAUGUCAGCUUUGAUGUGGCCAACAAUAAGGGUUGUGGCCAUUAUCGUUAGUGUGUUUCUGAAUCAGAUGUCGAGUAGCUAAUUUGUUAUGUGUCUGCUAAUAACAAGGUUAUCAUCGGACCUGCAACAAUUGGAGGAAUUCAAGCGGGUGCUUUCAAGAUUGGUGAUACCACUUGAACCAUUGUUUACAUAAUUCAGUAAAUGCUGUCGAGAAGGGAGAAGGCAACAAACUUCAAACCAGACUAUGAUAUUGAUAUCCAUAUGAAGGUCCUAGCUAUGAGUGUGCAAGAAUCCAGUAUUCUUACAGGCUACAAAAUGAAGUGCUGAUACGGUGGUAGGAAAUGAGAUGAUGAGGGGUAUUUUUGGUGGUCAACGAAAGUGUGUCACAACAGUGCAGAUUACAAUGUCCAUACCAAGAUCAGCUGGGAAUGCUGAAAGAUGUGCUUUCAUUAUUGCACUCUGAAAGUUAUGCAUACAUGACUCAUGGUACAAUUAUAUAG